rnacentral:rRNA from 1 species
AGAGUUUGAUUAUGGCUCAGGAUGAACGCUAGCUACAGGCUUAACACAUGCAAGUCGAGGGGUAGCAGGAUCUAGCAAUAGAUUGCUGACGACCGGCGCACGGGUGAGUAACACGUAUCCAACCUUCCGUUUACUCGGGGAUAGCCUUUCGAAAGAAAGAUUAAUACCCGAUAGUAUGCUUUUCCCGCAUGGGAGAAUCAUUAAAGUUUUUCGGUAAUCGAUGGGGAUGCGUUCCAUUAGGCAGUUGGUGAGGUAACGGCUCACCAAACCUUCGAUGGAUAGGGGUUCUGAGAGGAAGGUCCCCCACAUUGGAACUGAGACACGGUCCAAACUCCUACGGGAGGCAGCAGUGAGGAAUAUUGGUCAAUGGACGGGAGUCUGAACCAGCCAAGUAGCCGUGAAGGAUGACUGCCCUAUGGGUUGUAAACUUCUUUUAUAUGGGAAUAAAGGAGCCUACGUGUAGGUUUUUGUAUGUACCAUACGAAUAAGGAUCGGCUAACUCCGUGCCAGCCGCCGC